GACGAACGCUGGCGGCGUGCUUAACACAUGCAAGUCGAACGGUAAGGCCCUUCGGGGUACACGAGUGGCGAACGGGUGAGUAACACGUGGGUGAUCUGCCCUGCACUUUGGGAUAAGCCUGGGAAACUGGGUCUAAUACCGGAUAGGACCACGGCCUGCAUGGGUUGUGGUGGAAAGCUUUUGUGGUGUGGGAUGGGCCCGCGGCCUAUCAGGUUGUUGGUGGGGUGAUGGCCUACCAAGGGGACGACGGGUAGCCGGCCUGAGAGGGUGUCCGGCCACACUGGGACUGAGAUACGGCCCAGACUCCUACGGGAGGCAGCAGUGGGGAAUAUUGCACAAUGGGCGCAAGCCUGAUGCAGCGACGCCGCGUGGGGGAUGACGGCCUUCGGGUUGUAAACCUCUUUCACCAGGGACGAAGCGCAAGUGACGGUACCUGGAGAAGAAGCACCGGCCAACUACGUGCCAGCAGCCGCCGUAA
rnacentral:rRNA from 1 species